rnacentral:lncRNA from 1 species
ACAAGGCUUCUGUGCUUCGAGCAGCGAUCGAUUAUGUGAAACAACUGAAAGAAAAGGUAGAUGAACUAGAGAAGCAAAACAGAAAGAGUGCAGCAGAGACAGUAAUAUUGGUGAAUAAAAGCGAUUCGAAUGGAAACGAAGAUAACAGCAACUCCACUGAAACGAACUGCAGCAUCCUUCCUGAGAUGGAAGCGAGAGUGUUGGGGAAGGAGGUGCUCAUUGAGAUCCACUGUGAGAAAGAAUAUGGGGUUGAGCUGAAAAUACUUGACCAUCUUGAAAAUCUUCAUCUCUGUGUCACCGGUAGCAGUGUUUUGCCAUUUGGAAAUUCUGCUCUCUGCAUUACCAUCACAGCUCAGGUAUCUUAUUAUCAAGUUUAAUAAUUCUAUAUUGACCAAAUCAUUAUGAUAUGAUUCAAUGAAUCUAUGCAUAUAAAUUUGUAACAGUUUGGUGUUUGUUAACUGUAGAUGGAUGAGGAGUAUGAGAUGACAGUGAAUGAUCUAGUGAAAAACCUGAGAGAAGUUCUAUCGAAGUCUCAUUUGGUAAGUGACAGUGAUCCGUACUAGUGUAUCAAACAAGGGGUUGUAGUGUGAAAUUGGAAUUUCUUUUGUUUUGUGGUGUCUAUGAAUUUGGUCGGCUUUCGUGUGGAUUAUGUAUCAGUAAGGCUUGGUUUGUCAUGUAUGAUGUUGCUGUUUAUAAAGACAGAAAGAGAGAGAGAAAAAGGAGAGUGAUAUGUUGUUUUUCGGUAAAAUAUACUGAAAGAGAACCACAUGUAAACAGGAUGUACGACAACUCCUUUUUGAUGUAAUAAGAAUAUCAUAUGU